CCAAUAAUAAACAGCCUUACAGCUGCUUAAUCUAUUCUAUAGUAAAUGAUAACGAAGUAAAUGUAAAUCAGAUGUGAGAUGACGCACAUUCUUCCUACAUGCGUAUAUAGAAUGGAAAUGAUAAUUAAUGAUUCAGUAAAGUAAUGUGUUUCUAAGACAGUGUUCAACCUCAUAUGGCAUAGACAAUAACUGCUUUUUAUAGGUCACUCAAGUGG